GAANUCCCCGAGCUUAACUUGGGAACUGCGUUUUGAACUGGUAAGCUAGAGUAUGUCAGAGGGGGGUAGANUUCCACGUGUAGCAGUGAAAUGCGUAGAGAUGUGGAGGAAUACCGAUGGCGAAGNCAGCCCCCUGGGAUAAUACUGACGUUCAUGCUCGAAAGCGUGGGUAGCAAACAGGAUUAGAUACCCUGGUAGUCCACGCCCUAAACGAUGUCAAUUAGCUGUUGGGGCACUUGAUGCCUUAGUAGCGAAGCUAACGCGUGAAAUUGACCGCCUGGGGAGUACGGUCGCAAGAUUAAAACUCAAAGGAAUUGACGGGGACCCGCACAAGCGGUGGAUGAUGUGGAUUAAUUCGAUGCAACGCGAAGAACCUUACCUGGUCUUGACAUGUACGGAAUCUUCCAGAGACGGAAGAGUGCCUUCGGGAGCCGUAACACAGGUGCUGCAUGGCUGUCGUCAGCUCGUGUCGUGAGAUGUUGGGUUAAGUCCCGCAACGAGCGCAACCCUUGUCAUUAGUUGCCACCAUUCAGUUGGGCACUCUAAUGAGACUGCCGGUGACAAACCGGAGGAAGGUGGGGAUGACGUCAAGUCCUCAUGGCCCUUAUGACCAGGGCUUCACACGUCAUACAAUGGUCGGUACAGAGGGUAGCCAAGCCGCGAGGUGGAGCCAAUCUCAGAAAACCGAUCGUAGUCCGGAUUGCACUCUGCAACUCGAGUGCAUGAAGUCGGAAUCGCUAGUAAUCGCAGGUCAGCAUACUGCGGUGAAUACGUUCCCGGGUCUUGUACACACCGCCCGUCACACCAUGGGAGUGGGGGAUACCAGAAGUAGGUAGGCUAACCGCAAGGAGGC
rnacentral:rRNA from 1 species